GUCCACGCCGUAAACGAUGGGCACUAGAUGCUUGGGGGAGCGACCCCCUGAGUGUCGCCGCUAACGCAGUAAGUGCCCCGCCUGGGGAGUACGGCCGCAAGGCUGAAACUCAAAGGAAUUGACGGGGGCCCGCACAAGCGGUGGAGCAUGUGGUUUAAUUCGACGCAACGCGAAGAACCUUACCUAGGCUUGACAUGCAGGAGAAACCCCUGAGAAACCAGGGGCCCUCUUCGGAGUUCCUGCACAGGUGCUGCAUGGCUGUCGU
rnacentral:rRNA from 1 species